UGUCGUCAGCUCGUGUUGUGAAAUGUUGGGUUAAGUCCCGCAACGAGCGCAACCCUUAUCCUUUGUUGCCAGCGGUCCGGCCGGGAACUCAAAGGAGACUGCCAGUGAUAAACUGGAGGAAGGUGGGGAUGACGUCAAGUCAUCAUGGCCCUUACGACCAGGGCUACACACGUGCUACAAUGGCGCAUACAAAGAGAAGCGACCUCGCGAGAGCAAGCGGACCUCAUAAAGUGCGUCGUAGUCCGGAUUGGAGUCUGCAACUCGACUCCAUGAAGUCGGAAUCGCUAGUAAUCGUGGAUCAGAAUGCCACGGUGAAUACGUUCCCGGGCCUUGUACACACCGCCCGUCACACCAUGGGAGUGGGUUGCAAAAGAAGUAGGUAGCUUAACCUUCGGGAGGGCGCUUACCACUUUGUGAUUCAUGACUGGGGUGAAGUCGUAACAAGGUAACCGUAG
rnacentral:rRNA from 1 species